AAGGCCCGGGGCACUUGUCUCCGGCCGUGGGAACGCGGGGAUCGCGCCCCGAGAGCGACGCGGCCGACGCCGAGGCGGCCGGUUGGUGCCCUGAGGAUGGCGAUGCAGGUGCUUUCCGGCCACCCACUAGCUCGAGUUUUAGCUGGGCAAUCAGAUGGGCCAGCGAAAGGGACGCGCGAGGUUCUAAAUUCCUCGUGGGCAUUAUUUGGCUUAUGAGCAUGAAAGGGAUGCGAUCGGCUGGUCCGGGGCAGCAAGUUACAGGGGCAUAUGCUACUGAUCCGUGGCUUUUGGGUUUUGACUUUCUUUUAGCUCGGAACACAAGAUAAGCUGCAGAAUUUGGCAUCUGUGCAAUUAAGCAGAACUGAAUAAUUCGGGCCCAUGGCCACAUUUUGAUAAGUA